rnacentral:rRNA from 1 species
ACGGAAGGCAGCAGUAGGGAAUCUUCGGCAAUGGGGGCAACCCUGACCGAGCAACGCCGCGUGAGUGAAGAGGGUUUUCGGAUCGUAAAGCUCUGUUGUAAGAGAAGAACGUGUGUGAGAGUGGAAAGUUCACACAGUGACGGUAACUUACCAGAAAGGGACGGCUAACUACGUACCAGCAGCCGCGGUAAUACGUAGGUCCCGAGCGUUGUCCGGAUUUAUUGGGCGUAAAGCGAGCGCAGGCGGUUUAAUAAGUCUGAAGUUAAAGGCAGUGGCUUAACCAUUGUUCGCUUUGGAAACUGUUAGACUUGAGUGCAGAAGGGGAGAGUGGAAUUCCAUGUGUAGCGGUGAAAUGCGUAGAUAUAUGGAGGAACACCGGUGGCGAAAGCGGCACUCUGGUCUGUAACUGACGCUGAGGCUCGAAAGCGUGGGGAGCAAACAGGAUUAGAUACCCUGGUA